rfam:Schistosoma mansoni strain Puerto Rico chromosome W, complete genome
GCACUGCUCAGGAGUCCCACAACAGGACGAAACGGCCGUCCAGUGU